AGAGUUUGAUCCUGGCUCAGGAUGAACGCUGGCGGCGUGCUUAACACAUGCAAGUCGAACGAGAAUCAACGGAUUGAGGAUUCGUCCAAAUGAAGUUGAGGAAAGUGGCGGACGGGUGAGUAACGCGUGAGGAACCUGCCUCGGAGUGGGGAAUAACAGUUGGAAACAGCUGCUAAUACCGCAUAAUGCAACGAAGUCGCAUGACUUUGUUGCCAAAGAUUUAUCGCUCUGAGAUGGCCUCGCGUCUGAUUAGCUGGUUGGCGGGGUAACGGCCCACCAAGGCGACGAUCAGUAGCCGGACUGAGAGGUUGGCCGGCCACAUUGGGACUGAGACACGGCCCAGACUCCUACGGGAGGCAGCAGUGGGGAAUAUUGGGCAAUGGGCGCAAGCCUGACCCAGCAACGCCGCGUGAAGGAAGAAGGCUUUCGGGUUGUAAACUUCUUUUGUCAGGGACGAACAAAUGACGGUACCUGACGAAUAAGCCACGGCUAACUACGUGCCAGCAGCCGCGGU
rnacentral:rRNA from 1 species